UACGGAGGGUGCAAGCAUUAAUCGGAUUUAUUGGGCGUAAAGGGCGCGUAGGCGGAAAAGAAAGUCAGAUGUGAAAUCCCGGGGCUCAACCUCGGAACGGCAUUUGAAACUUCUUAUCUAGAGGAUAGGCGGAGAAAACGGAAUUCCACAAGUAGCGGUGAAAUGCGUAGAUAUGUGGAAGAACACCGGUGGCGAAGGCGGUUUCGUAGCUUAUUCCUGACGCUGAGGCGCGAAAGCAAGGGGAUCAAACAGG
rnacentral:rRNA from 1 species